rnacentral:lncRNA from 1 species
CUCUCUCUAGAAAACUUGUUCUUCAGAGUUCUCUCCUCAAUUUCUUCACACUGAACCAUUCAAUCUUUGAAAAAGGUGUUCAGGUGUUCCCAGCGUAGAGGACUUCGAAACCUACUGAUCAAUUUCCCUUUUCUUCAACUGGUAAGUUGCAAUUCUCUUUCCGUGCAAUUUUGGGGCUGGGAUCAUGCAACAAUUGGGGUUUGCAUGUAAUUGAUUUUGUUUUCCCCAAAUUUUAGUUUCAACCAUGCUCUAAAAUCUGCCUUCCAUCACCAAAUUGCAAUAUGCAGGUGAUUCUAGUCUUCCUUGAAGUGAAAUUUAGCGUUUAGGGGUUUCCUGUGUCUUGAGCUGUUCGACUGAGAGGUAAGGGAAGCUGGGAAUUUUUGUUUUGUUUUAUAAAUUAGAGUUGCAUGAGUUAGGAUUAUUAUGUGAAAUCUGUGAAAUAAUGCAUAUGUGAAAUGUUUUGGUGAGAUUGUGUUAUUUGAACUAAAAUUGGGUUGUAUGUGUGUAUGAGAUCAUAUGUUAUUUGAUUCUACAAAUGUGAUUCUGUAAAUGGUUGUUUAUGAAUUUGUAUGGUUGUGAUAUGAUGCUGGAAUUGGAAUGAUGGGGUGGAGGAAAUUCUGUAUAUAGGAUUCUAGAUAGAAAAUUAAGCAAAUCAAGGUGUUUUAGGCUAUAUUAAGGGAACUAGGGUAGUCAAAUUUGGAAGUUGGAGUCAUAGAGAGUCUUGGCCAGUUUAGACCACUUAGAUAAGUCAAAUAUGACUUGUUAGAAGUGUCAAAAUAAACAAAAACAAUCUUUAAGUGUCAAAUUUAGAUUUAAGCCCAGAAGUUGAGAGAAAUGAGGUUUUUGAGUGUAAAUCUAUGCAUAGUUGCUAGGGAUUGAGGUUAGAAAUGUUUAUAAACCUUUAGAGAAGUUUAAAUACACCUAAAUUUUGAGUUAGAAUGAUUAAAAAUUCAUAAAAAGGUCUAAAACGGAACUUAGGGGUGUGGAUUUUGCAAAUCUGCAGAAAAAUCUGCAUAAUCCACGCCCGGGCGCCUCUGAAGGGCGCCCAGCGCCCUUCAACGCGCUGUUUCACUUUAAUUUUGGGUCUCGGGCGUCCCUAAAGGGCGCUGGACGUCCUUUUCUGCUGUAGCUUUUGUUUUUGAUAGUUUGUGGGAUUCCGGAUGUCCGUUUUGGACGUUCUUUAGGUCGUUCUGGGGGUUUUGACUCUUCCGGAGCCAUUAGUGAGGGUCUCCAAGCUAUUUGAAUUAAUUAAGUAUUGGUAAUUAAAGAUUUUAAAGAUAUUUGCAUUAAUAAGUGAUGUUUUUCUGAAAAUAUGUAAUUUUUGAGUAUGUAUAAGUUGUUUUUAUGACAUAACUAAAGAAUGAUUGUGUUCCAUGUGGUGUAAUAUGACUUAAUGAAUUAAUUUACAUCUCUUGGUGAGAUUAAAAAUUAAGUUUCUGGAAUGAAUAUACAUAGCUCAGUUUUGGGGGUUUUCCUUAACACUCUAAUGGCUAUUCCAUCUCACUUAGAGAAGAAUAUGUCAUGUGGUGAGAGUAGGAGGUCCUAGUCUUGGUUGUCUCCAUUUUAAAUGGGCCAAAAUGAGUGAUAACGGACUAACCUUGUGGUGGUAGGGUGGAACCCAUAGCAAUUGGCUUUGCAAAGCAGUAGAGGCCACCACAAGUGCAUAACCCGCCAUAGCUCGAUAUUCAUUCUAGGUCCGGACGAGUCUAAUUCUAACAUAACCUAAUAAAACUAUUCUUCUAUGAUUUGUUUGCUUGCAUGUUCAUUUUAUUCUAGCCAGUCUUAUAUAACUUGUACACUCUUUAGAAAUCUAACUUACCCUUGCUGCUUGGUUGUUUGUUCUGUAUGUGUUUGUUUUUCUUUUGCAAUGAUCAUCCAAAUUGGAUGUGAGCAGAGGUAGGAGAGGUGUCAUUGGAGCAAGCUUUGGAGGGAGAUGAUGCAACCCCUAGCUUUUAGGCUUCUUCCUAAAUGUUGUCUUUAUUUUGAAAUACUCUUAUUUUGUAAAGUUUUAAAUUUCUGACCUCUUGUAGGAUGACUGUAAAUCCUAUACUUCAUUAUAAAAGUUCUAUUUUUUGUUUUAUAAUUCCAUAUGUAUUCUUAAACUAUCGUGCCA